UACGGGGGGGGCAAGCGUUGUUCGGAAUUACUGGGCGUAAAGGGCUCGUAGGUGGCCAACUAAGUCAGACGUGAAAUCCCUCGGCUUAACCGGGGAACUGCGUCUGAUACUGGAUGGCUUGAGGUUGGGAGAGGGAUGCGGAAUUCCAGGUGUAGCGGUGAAAUGCGUAGAUAUCUGGAGGAACACCGGUGGUGAAGGCGGCAUCCUGGACCAAUUCUGACGCUGAGGAGCGAAAGCCAGGGGAGCAAACGGG
rnacentral:rRNA from 1 species